AGUGAACGCUGGCGGUAGGCCUAACACAUGCAAGUCGAACGGCAGCACAGUAAGAGCUUGCUCUUACGGGUGGCGAGUGGCGGACGGGUGAGGAAUACAUCGGAAUCUACUUUUUCGUGGGGGAUAACGUAGGGAAACUUACGCUAAUACCGCAUACGACCUACGGGUGAAAGCAGGGGAUCUUCGGACCUUGCGCGAUUGAAUGAGCCGAUGUCGGAGUAGCUAGUUGGCGGGGUAAAGGCCCACCAAGGCGACGAUCCGUAGCUGGUCUGAGAGGAUGAUCAGCCACACUGGAACUGAGACACGGUCCAGACUCCUACGGGAGGCAGCAGUGGGGAAUAUUGGACAAUGGGCGCAAGCCUGAUCCAGCCAUACCGCGUGGGUGAAGAAGGCCUUCGGGUUGUAAAGCCCUUUUGUUGUGAAAGAAAAGCAGCAGGUUAAUACCCCGCUGUUCUGACGGUACCCAAAGAAUAAGCACCGGCUAACUUCGUG
rnacentral:rRNA from 1 species